AUUUCAAGUAUUGCUCCUAUUGGGCUUCUUAUGUCAGGAUACGGAUCGAAUAAUAAAUAUUCCUUUUCAGGUGGUCUACGAGCUGCUGCUCAAUCUAUUAGUUAUGAAAUACCAUUAACUCUAUGUGUGUUAUCAAUAUCUCUACGUGUGAUUCGUUGAACAUGAACUUUAUACUUCUUUCCUAGAAGUAAAGGAAAGAAGUUGAAUGUAAUGUAUUGAAUAGGUAUUUUAUUUUUUAUUCAUCAUUCGGGUCAAUGAGUUAAACCAGAUAGUUAUAUGAGUGAAACAAAACAACUUAGAAGUUUGCAGUAAGAAGAUAAAAUCUCAUUUCAUAUGUACAAGAAUAAAGUUGAAGUAAACAUAAGCAGUGUAAACUGUUUACCCCAAGAUUAAGAUUCUUUCAUUAGUCAUCAUAUCUUGGAGCGGGUGUAAAAGAUCAACUGUAUGGAGUUUUCAUUACUGUCUUGUAUUUAUUACCAUGCCGUAGAUCAAUCAAAAAUCAGUGGACGGUUAGGAACACCAAAGUGCACAAAGGAUUAGUAAUAGAGAUAAUGUAAGGUAUCAAAAAAAGAGAUAUUUCUACAAUUUAUAAAACGAAUAAAAAUAGGGACUUUAAGUUGGUUUAUAUUUAUAAAUUUAUAAAAUAUAAAUUUAUAAAAAAAAUAAAAAAAUGAAUAAAGAUAUUGAUGCAUAAAAUAAAUAAAAGAAUAGAUAAGAAGAGAUUCGUCCACCUCCCAUGGAUUUGAUUCCUUCCCCUAUAAAAAAACUUGCAAUGCCAACCCCAUUUGUAAUUCCAUCAAUUAUAUAUCUAUCAAAAAACUGAGUUAGUUCGGUUAAUCCCCUUAUACCCAUGGUAAAAACCUUAGUAUAAAAAAUAUCUAUGUAACCACGAUUAUAUGACCAAUUGUAUAUCCCAUUUUUUAUUUGGUCCAAGAGAAUCCUUUUAGGACCACCUUUUACAAAUGCAUUGAUAAAGUUCAAAUUCCGGAAAAACGAAUAAGCAGACCCAUAUAAGAUAUAUGCUAUGAAUAGUCCGGAAAUAGCUAUACUUACUGAAAAAAUUGCAUUUGUAAAAAAUUCAUACCAAUCCACAGAAUAACUCGAAUUUGGAUGGAAAAGGUUUGUGAGUGGAGUUAACCAUUUGGAUAAUAUAUCCAAAUCUAUUACUCCUUGAUCAAAAUGAAUUCCUAUUGAUCCAACAAACAAAGUAAAUAAUACCAAUAUAAGCAGAGGAAAUAGCAUAGUAUUGUCCACUUCGCGAGGGUACAUAGAAGUGUACUUUUUUUCGAAAGAAGUAUUAAAGUAUCGUAUGCAUUUUUUUAGAUUAUUAUCAAUUUUAUACAUAUCCUUUGAAAAAAAGAAGACCCUAUUAUUCAUUGUUGAUAAAGGUAAAUUUCUAUUGACUGCUUUGGCUACCUCCUUUCCCCAUAGAGAUAUUGAAUAGGACGAACUAUUUUUUGUGCUACUGUAAUCUUGAAAAUGAACGCGCAAAUGUCCAUCAAAGGUAAGUAAAUACACCCGAAACAUAUAAAAUGCAGUCAAUCCUGCUGUGAAACAAGCUAUUAUUGCGAAAAUUGGUGAAUACAACCAACUAUCAUUAAGAAUUUCAUCUUUGGACCAAAAACAAGCAAGAGGUGGAAUACCGCAAAUAGAAAGUGUACCCAAUAAAAAAGUAGUUCUUGUAAUUGGAACAUAUCUUCUUAAACCACCCAUAAGAGCCAUAUUCUGACUUUUUUCUGGCGAAUAUCCAACAAUAGGUUCCAUUGAAUGAAUAAUGGAUCCGGAUCCCAAAAACAAUAAAGCUUUAGAAUAGGCAUGGGUAAUCAAAUGGAAUAAAGCAGCUCGAUAAGAACCUAUACCUAGAGCUAACAUAAUAUAACCCAAUUGAGACAUUGUAGAAUAGGCUAAACUUCUUUUUAUAUCUCUUUGAGCAAGAGCCAAAGUAGCUCCUAGUAGUACUGUUAUUACACCUAUUAAAGAUAUGAAAUUCAUUAUGUAAGGUAUAGCUAUGAAAAUAGGAAGAAGUCGAGCUACAAGAAAAAUUCCUGCUGCUACCAUAGUAGCAGCGUGUAUAAGAGCCGAGAUGGGAGUGGGUCCUUCCAUGGCAUCGGGUAACCAUACGUGAAGGGGGAAUUGUGCGGAUUUAGCAACUGCACCAAUGAAUAAUAAAGAGGCACACAAAGUAGCAAAUAAAGAACUGACACCAUUAUUAUGGAUCAAGUUAUUAGUUAUUUCGAACAAAUCCCGAAAUUCGAAACUACCUGUUAUCCAAUAAAAACCUAAAAUUCCUAAUAAUAAACCAAAAUCCCCUACACGGUUAGUUACAAAAGCUUUUUGACAAGCACUUGCUGCAGUCGGUCGUGUGAACCAAAAUCCUAUUAAUAAAUAGGAACACAUCCCCACCAGUUCCCAAAAAAUAUAAAUUUGUAUCAAAUUGGAACUGGUAACUAAUCCCAACAUGGAAGCAUUGAAAAAACUCAUAUAAGCAAAAAAUCUCAGAUAUCCUUGAUCAUGAGACAUAUAAUUGUCACUAUAAAUAAGAACCAAGAUUCCAACAGUAGUAAUUAGUAUUGACAUAAUAGAACUAAGUGGGUCGAUCAAAUAUCCGAACUCUAAGGAAAAAUCAUUAUUGAUGGUCCAAGACCAUAGAUAUUGAUAGAUAGAACUUCCAUGUAUUUGUUGAAUAGAUAAAUUGGCUGAAAACCCCAUAACUAUACUUAACAGUAAAACACUAGGAAAAGCCCAUAUACGACGAAUAUUUUUUGUUGCUGUCGGAAUCAGUAGAAGUCCAAAUCCUAUUGACACAGUAACUGGAAGUGGAAGAAAAGGUAUUAUCCAUGCAUAUUGAUAUGUAUGUUCCAUAAGAAAACAAAAUGAAAUCUUUAAUAAUUCUACUAUUCUAGUCUAGUCUUAGUAGAAUAUUCUAUUCUGGUAAUUUAUAGCCAUAUUAUAUAGUAUAAUAAGAAAAAAGAGUUAUACCAAAAGGAGUACUUGAUUCUAAUUAUGUUUUAAUAAAAUUAUAUGUUUUAAUAGGUUUAAAAUAUAUUUUCAAACAGGUUUUAAACAUAUUCGAAAAUGCUUUUUUUAAAACUAUUCUACCAGGGAAUAAGUAUAGAUAAUGACUAAAAGGAACAAUCUAUUUUGAACAAAACAAUACAUGUCUUUCACAUACAACGAUAAAAACUGGUAACCCUUUUUGAAUGGCAGUUCCCAAAAAGCGUACUUCUAUGUCAAAAAAACGUAUUCGUAAAAAUAUUUGGAAAAAAAAAGGAUUUUUAGCUGCAGUAAAGGCUUUUUCCUUAGCGAAAUCGGUUUCCACCGGACGUUCAAAAAGUUUUUUUGUGCAACAAACAAAUAAUAAAGUCUUGGAAUAAUCGGAAUUGACAUACCCGAAGAACUUCGAAUUUUUUAAGAUGAACGAUUCACAUUAAUUAAUGUAUUGAACUCCUCAAUAUCAAUAUGAGUUAGAACUAGCUGUUGUAGUAUGUAGAUGUGGUAUGUAGAAUAAAGGUAUGUAUAUCGAAUUCUGAAUAUUUUUUCUAUCUACUUUUUUCACAAUAGAAAAAUAUUUUUCUAUUGUGAAAAGUAGAGUAUGAUUACGAUAGAAAUGAAAAUUCUUUUGUUUCUUAUAUGCCUAACAAAAACCUAAUUAGUUUGGUAAAUCUUACCAUUAUGCAUUAUAUAUAUAAUGAAGAGACCAUUAUAUAUAAUAUGAAGAGUAUUAAUACUCUAAUGAUACUAAGGAAUGAUACUAAGGUGUCGAAAUCGUUAGAAAAUUUCAAAUUCUUUUGAUUUAGUGAUGAAAUUGUUAUACAUAUGAAAUCCUGGUUAUUUAAUCUUCUUCAUUGAAAAAAAAAAUAUUUUUUUUUUCAUUUUGUUUGAAUCUAUGAAAUCAAAUCGGAUAAAUAAAAAACGAAUCAAAAAAUAGAAAAUGAACAAUUCUUAGUUCUAUACCUCGACAGACAACAAAACUAUUGAGUUCUAACUGUUUUGGAAGAACUUAGUUUCUAGUACGCGAAAGUUUAUUAUUAAAACUAAACUUACUAAAACUAAACUUACUUUAUUAUUAAAACUAAACUUACAAUGAUCCCAACUAAAGAUUCUUUUUUUGAAUAGAGAUUCAAAUAGGAAUUUAAAUGAAUUUUGAUUUAUCGAUUCUAAUGUUUACUAAACUAUAUUGAAUCCUUGAUUCUCGACGAUUCAACAUGAAUUGACUAUUAUUAUUUCAAGUAAGCCGCCAUGGUGAAAUUGGUAGACACGCUGCUCUUAGGAAGCAGUGCUAGAGCAUCUCGGUUCGAGUCCGAGUGGCGGCAUCCUUGAAAUCCUAGAAAAUAAAUCCUCUAAAAGAGACACAAUGGAUCCUAUAAUGUAUUCAAUUCUCGAUUUAAAUUCUCUAAUGGGACCCCUUUUUAUGAUAUUUACAACUUUAGAACAUAUAUUAACUCAUAUCUCUUUUUCGAUAAUUUCAAUUGUGAUUACGAUUCAUUUAAUGAUCUUAUUAGUCCGCGAAAUCGUAGGAUUGCGUGAUUCAUUGGAAAAAGGGAUGAUAGCCACUUUUUUCUCUAUAACAGGAUUAUUAGUUUCUCGUUGGAUUUCUUCAGGACAUUUUCCGUUAAGUAAUUUAUACGAGUCAUUAAUCUUCCUUUCGUGCAGUUUCUCCAUUAUUCAUAUGAUUUCCAAGAUGGGGAACCAUAAAAAUGAUUUAAGCACAAUAACCGCACCAAGUACCAUUUUUACACAAGGCUUUGCCACGUCGGGUUUUUUAACUGAAAUGCAUCAAUCCGCAAUAUUAGUACCUGCUCUACAAUCUCAGUGGUUAAUGAUGCACGUAAGUAUGAUGUUAUUAAGCUAUGCAGCUCUUUUAUGCGGAUCACUAUUAUCAGUCGCUCUUCUAGUCAUUACAUUUCGAAAAAACAUCGAUAUUUUUUGUAAAGGUAAUAAUUUCUUAAUUAAACCAUUUUUCUUUGGUGAGAUUCAAUAUUUGAAUGAAAAAAGAAGUGUUUUUAAAAACACUUCUUUUCUUUCAUUUCGAAAUUAUUAUAAAUAUCAAUUGACUCAACGUUUGGAUUAUUGGAGUUAUCGUGUCAUUAGUUUAGGAUUUACCUUUUUAACCAUAGGCAUUCUUUGUGGAGCAGUAUGGGCUAAUGAGGCAUGGGGAUCUUAUUGGAAUUGGGACCCCAAAGAAACUUGGGCUUUUAUUACUUGGACCAUAUUCGCGAUUUAUUUACAUACUAGAACUAGAAUACAUAUUAGAAGUAGAACAAAUCAAAGUUUGCAAAGUAUGAAUUCGGCACUUGUGGCUUCUAUAGGAUUUCUUAUAAUUUGGGUAUGUUAUUUUGGAAUCAAUCUAUUAGGAAUAGGUCUACAUAGUUAUGGUUCAUUCACAUUAACAUCUACUUGAAUAAACUACACAGAUAAAUAAUUGAAUAAACUACAUAAAGAAUACAUAAGAACAUCAUCCCAUAUAUAUAUAAAAAGCUUCUUGUUUGUGCGAGUUUUUGAGAACCGUUUGAAUCAUUCCUUAUUCAAAACGGUUCUCAAAAACUCAAAAUGCAUCUCAUUACAAUUCUAAUUCACUUUAUUCUUUUGCAUUGUACAGCGAACGAUUUUAAAAAUCUUAAAAUCAAAGACAAAAAUUAUAUUUCCGUAUUAUUAAUGAAAGACUAUCGAUGAAAGUAAUUAGAUAGGAUAGCUUGCACCCUGUCAACUGAUAGCGAGAGAACGAAAUCCGGAUAAAUACCAAUACCUAUUACGGGUAGAAAGAUACAGAUUGAAACAAAUAGUUCUCGUGGUCCAGAAUCCGCAAAAUUAGAGUUUGGAACAUUGAAUAGCUUGUAUCCAUAGAACAUCUGACGUAACAUAGAUAAUAAAUAAAUAGGAGUUAAUAUCAUUCCAAUUGCCAUUACAAAAGUAAUUAGCAUUUUUGGCAUUAAAAGGUAUUUUGGACUAGUAAUUAUUCCAAAAAAUACUAAUAAUUCCGCAACAAAACCACUCAUUCCUGGCAAUGCAAGAGAAGCCAUCGAAAAACUACUGAACAUGGUAAAUAGUUUUGGCAUUGGGAUCGAUACCCCCCCCAUUUCGUCGAGAUAAACAAGACGUAUUCUAUCACAACUCGUUCCUGCCAAGAAAAAAAGCGCAGCACCAAUAAAUCCAUGAGAGAGUAUUUGUAAAAUGGCACCGUUGAGUCCCAUUCCGGUUAUAGAACCAAUUCCUAUAAUUGUGAAACCCAUGUGAGAUACAGAGGAAUAGGCUAUUCUUUUUUUUAAAUUCCGUUGACCGAGAGAGGUUGAAGCUGCAUAGAUUAUUUGAAUCGUUCCCACUAUUACCAACCAGGGAGAAAAUAUAGAAUGAGCGUGGGGUAAUAAUUCCAUAUUGAUCCGAAUAAGUCCAUAUGCGCCCAUUUUUAAUAAGAUUCCAGCUAGAAGCAUACAUGUACUGUAAUGUGCUUCUCCAUGGGUAUCUGGUAACCACGUAUGUAGGGGUAUAAUCGGCGAUUUGACAGCAUAAGCAAUAAGGAAUCCAAAAUAUAAUAUUAUUUCCAAUGCCACAGGAUAUGAUUGAUUAGUUAAUUUUGAAAAAUCUAAUGUGGGUUCAUUAGGGCCAUAUAAACCCAUACCUAGAACUCCUAUUAAGAGAAAAAUGGAGCCCCCCGCAGUGUACAAAAUAAACUUUGUGGCCGAGUAGAGACGUUUCUUUCCCCCCCACAUGGAUAAAAGUAAAUAAACAGGAAUUAAUUCUAACUCCCACAGCAUGAAAAAAAGUAAAAGGUCUCUAGAAGAAAAUAAUCCUAUUUGACCGCUGUACAUUGCUAACAUGAGAAAAUAGAACAAUCGCGAAUUUCGAGUAACUGGCCAAGCCGCUAAGGUAGCUAAAGUGGUGAUAAAUCCUGUCAGUAAAAUAGGUCCUAUGGAAAGCCCAUCGAUUCCCAGUCUCCAGUGAAAAUCAAAAACAUCUAUCCAUUUUAAAUCUUCCUCCAAUUGGGUUAAUGGAUCGUCCAAUUGGAAAUGAUAACAGAAAACAUAGGUUGUUAGAAGGAGUUCCAACGAGCAUAUACAUAUAGCAUACCACCUAAACAUCUUAUUUCCUUUAUGAGGAAGAAAGAAAAUGGAAGAACCGACGGAUAUCGGCAAAACAACAAGUAUUGUUAACCAAGGAAAAUAACUCGUGAUAAAGACAAGAUACGUUUGACCAGAAAAACCCGUGCUCGGAAUAGAAUAAUAUAUUUUCUCGAGUACGGGCUUUUGUCGGUAAAGAGGAAUCAAUUGAUUCAAGUGGAUUUUUUUGUAACGUAUCAAUAACCUAGACCCAUGCUGCGAGUUGUUUCAUAUGAUAAAUAAACACGGACACUCAAAAAAUCCGUGGGGCAGGCGGAUUCACAUCUCUUACAACCCACACAGUCCUCGGUUCUUGGUGCGGAAGCAAUUUGCUUAGCUUUACAUCCGUCCCAAGGUAUCAUUUCCAAUACGUCUGUGGGGCAGGCUCGUACACAUUGAGUACACCCUAUACAUGUAUCAUAAAUUUUUACUGAAUGUGACAUUGGAUCUAUAAAUUCCAGAUUUUAACAUCAAAAAUUUUCAAUCUGGUAGAAAAUUAGUAUUUAUAUUAUAGACACCAGACGAAGCAGUGGUUUAUUAAAAUUUUAAGAAUCAAUAUAUUUCUAAAUCUGUUCAUGAGAAAAAGCCAAGAGACUUUGAUUUCCGUUUCAAAAAUCAUGAUCAUACGAGUCACAUGUGUAAAUAAAAAUUGGCCGACAAAACAAAUUGAUCAAUCAUUCAAAUCAAUAUUUCAAUAUUCAUAUUUUCAAUAUGAAAUAUGAAUAUAUAAAAAUAAAACUAAAUUAGUAAUUUAAUUUAUUUUCGUAAUAUGAUUAACAUAUUAUUAUUUAAUAAUAUUAUUUUUAUUAUUUUAUUAUAAUAUUUAUAAUAUUAUGCAGUAUAUUAUUAUAUAAUACAUUUAUAUUAUUAUAAUACAUUAAAAAUACAUUAAAAACAUUAAAAUUUAAAUACAUUAAAAUUAAAUAAAAUAAACAAAUAAAAAACGAAAUAAAAAAAUUAUAAUACCAAUUAAAUUAAGAAUAUAAUUAUUUUUCAUUAAUGGAAUAUGAAAGUGAAAGAAUAGAAAUAGAAAAAUAUUCCAAUUUCAUUUAUAUUUUCUUAUGCUUUAUCAUGUUGUGUGGUGUCUUGAUUUAUAUGAUCAUUAUAACUGAUUAUUCAAUAUAUGAUCAUGAUAAUUAUCACUAAUUAUUCAACAAAUUCGAUUGAUUGAUACGAGUUGAUUUUCUGUUUCGAUGAAUCGACGAAACAAUAGCUAGACCAAUAGCUGCUUCAGCAGCUGCAACAGCUAUAAUAAAGAUUGAGAAAAUGUUUCCUUUUAAUUGGCGACUAUCAAAUAUAUCAGAAAAUGUUACAAGAUUAAUAUUAACCGAAUUUAGUAUAAGCUCAAGACACAUAAGUGCUCUAACCAUGUUUCGACUUGUGAUCAAUCCAUAGAGACCGAUAGAAAAUAAAUAAACACUCAAAAAAAGUACAUGCUCGAACAUCAUUGACUAACUCCUUAUCAAUCUCGAUUCAUUUCAAUAUGAACAAUUGAAGCGAUUCGAUUUUUUAUUUAUUUAGAACUUCUAAAAUUCUAAAAACUUUUUAAUUCUUUUAAAAUUCUAAGUAUUUAUUAUUGGCGAGCCAUAGUAAUUGCACCUAUCAAGGAAACUAAAAGAAUUAUAGAAAUUAGUUCAAAGGGAAGAUAAAAAUCUGUCGAUAAAUGAAUCCCAAUUUGUUGAACGUUACUUAUUAGGUCCUGUUCUAUAAUCUGGUUUGAUCUUGUAGUCCAAAUAAUUCCGUACCAUGACGUAUCUGGUAUAGUAGUAAUUAGUGAAAAAAGAAUACUUGUACAAACCAGUGAAGUGACUCCAUCUCCAAUGGUCCAAAAAUACGAAUCAUUGGAAUAUUCUGAACCAUUCAUGAACAUUACCGCAAAUAUGAUUAAGACAUUUACGGCUCCCACAUAAAUAAGUAGCUGUGCGGCAGCUACAAAAAAAGAGUUCGAUGGAAUGUAGAAUAAGGAUAUACAAACAAGAACCAAUCCCAAUGAAAAAGCAGAAUAAAUAGGAUUGGUAAGUAAUACUACCCCCAGACCCCCUAAUAUAAGAACUGACCCCAGAAAUGCUACAAGAAUAUCAUGUAUUGGUCCAGGUAAAUCCAUUAUGUAUAAUAUGUAAAAAAAAAAAUAUAUAAGUCAAAUCAUGACCUUACUAAAUGGUCCAGGAAAGGAAAAGGGUUACCCCAUUUUUAUUGUAUAUGAUAUGUUCCUAAUUGAAUUAAAUCUUAAUAUGGAUUAAUUUAAUAUUAAUUUUAUAUAUAGAUAUAAUUAUUUUAUUGGGCCAAUCCUACUUACUUUUUAUCCAAAAGAAAAAGAAUAAAAAAAGUAGUUGAAAUUGUAUAUUUCGAAAUUCCCGUGAUAAAAAUAUUAUAAGUUUAAAUCAAAGAGUGAUUCUCACCAAUCUAUAGUUACUAAUUAAAUCUAUAGUUACUAAUUAUUAUUUGUAGUUACUGACCAACCAAAAUAAAAAAGUUUUGAUCUUUUAUAUCAAAACAAAAUCUUAGUAAUCGGUAAUCGUUCUUGAAUCAAAGGGUUUAUCUUUAUCUAUUUUGAUUUGAGUCGAAUUCAUAACUGUUUGAAUUGUGUAAUCUUCAAUUACUGACAUUGGUAACCGACUCAAAGCAAUUUGAUUAUAAUUCAAUUCGUGACGAUCAUAAGUAGAAAGCUCAUAUUCUUCAGUCAUUGAUAAACAGUUUGUUGGACAAUACUCGACACAGUUACCACAAAAUAUACAGACCCCGAAAUCAAUACUAUAAUUAAGCAAUUGUUUCUUUUUCAUAUCUCUUUCCAAUCUCCAAUCAACAACAGGUAGAUCUAUUGGGCAUACACGAACACAUACUUCGCAAGCAAUACAUUUAUCAAAUUCAAAGUGAAUUCGACCACGAAAACGUUCUGACGUAAUUGAUUUCUCAUAAGGAUAUUGAAUAGUUACAGGUAAACGGUUUGUGUGGGAUAAGGUAAUUAUGAAACUUUGACCAAUAUACCUUGCAGCUCGUAUUGUUUGUUGACCAUAAUUCAUGAACCCAGUUACCAUGGGAAACAUAUUGUAGAUAUCCAUAAAUAAAUUGAUGUUUCUUUCUCUUGUUUGAAAGAGGUUAUGAAUCUAGAAUAUCGUUAUCGUAUUCUGUUAUUUUAUAGUGAAACAAGUUGGGAAGAAGUUGUCAAUAAUAGAUUACCCAAAGAAAUAGGUAAAAGAAAUUUCCAUCCAAGAUUUAAUAGCUGGUCCAUUCUCAUCCUAGGUAAAGUCCAUCUUGUUGUGAUAGAAAUGAACAGAAACAAAUAAGCUUUAACUAAUGUAAUAAAGAUACCAAUUGUCAUUCCAAAGACUCCAGCUAUUUUUUUUAUUCCGAAAAGCUCAGGAAUGGAUAUGUACGGAAUAGAUAAAUUCCACCCACCUAAGUAAAGAACCGUUACGAAUAACGAAGAAGCUAAUAGAUUUAGGUAAGAAGCAAGAUAAAAUAAACCAAAUCUGAUACCAGAAUAUUCGGUUUGAUAACCUGCUACUAAUUCCUCCUCUGCUUCUGGUAAAUCAAAGGGCAAUCUCUCACAUUCAGCUAGAGAAGAAAUUAUGAAAACUAUAAAUCCUAUGGGCUGACGCCAUAGAUUCCACCCCCAAAAGCCAUAUUUGGACUGUGCUUCAACUAUAUCAACUGUACUUGAACUGUUAGAUAAUUAUAGUCGAUAAUAACAUUACUGUUUCCAUCGCUAUUCCAAAACCGUACAUGAGACCUCAGCUUCAUACGGCUCCUCUAUGGCCACAAAUAAAUGUAAGGACUAGUUCGAUAUUAUCACCCCUUUUCUUUUGGGAUAACUAGAAUAAAGAUAUAUCAGAGAGUCCGAAAUUAAACCAAUGGAAUUCCGUUUGCUAGAAUAAGAAAAAGUGCUUCGGAAUUAAUCUCAUCCCUUAUGAUAAUAAAAAUGUAUUUUUCUUUGUUCGGUAAUAACUCAGCCCUUCAAUAAAAUACUCGUUAUAUCAAUAAAUCUAAAGAAUUUAAAGAAUUAGGAAUUAGUCCAUUAAUUGUGAUAGGAAUUCCACCCAUAUGGAUGGGAAAAAAGAAUAAAUAAAUAUCUUUUUUUUAUUAAUUCGAUUAUUACAUUCCAUUUCUUUUGUUCCUGUUCUUCUAUCUCAGAAGAGGGUACUUUGAAAAAAAAAGAAUAA